AUUCUUACUUGGCAGGGAAAACACCAUGAUCACGAAAGGUGGUUUUCCCAUUGCACUGUGGGUGUGCUGACCUCUGCGAUUUCCCCAAAUGCAGGAAACUCGGCUGCAUAAUUUGUGGUAGUGGGGAACUGUGUGCCUGCUCUCCCCU
rnacentral:snRNA from 1 species